ACAUAUUCGACAGUGUUACCACACAAUAACCAAUAAAGUCAGUUGUCUGCUUGCUUAGCUGAGCUCGAUGUCAGCUGACAUCGAGUAACUAGUAAACACGCGUUGUGUGUUCGUCGAGUAAAUACGCGUUUCUUUCUUCGAAUAAUUUUGACGCGCCGAGUGAUUAGUAAUGUUUAAUAGUUAAAUGUUUCGUACUAUUUUUUUGAUGUGUAAAUAAAUUCGGUCAAUGAUAAAAUGUAAGAAGAAAGAAAAAAAGACUUUUAAUCCGAUAAACUAAAAGAUGGAUCGUGAGAACAAUCAAUUGAUUGCAGGAUGCUAAAUGGUUGACGAUUUUCCCUCACGAGGAUAAAGAUGAUAUUUUCUAUAAAGAUGAAAACGCCUUGCAAUGUUAUAAAUUGUUAUCCUGCUUGCAAGGAUAUUAGUUACGACGUGUACUUGGAGAAGU